rnacentral:rRNA from 1 species
UACGUAGGGUGCAAGCGUUAAUCGGAAUUACCGGGCGUAAAGCGUGCGCAGGCGGUUUUGUAAGACUGGCGUGAAAUCCCCGGGCUUAACCUGGGAAUGGCGAUGGUGACUGCAAGGCUAGAGUUUGGCAGAGGGGGGUAGAAUUCCACGUGUAGCAGUGAAAUGCGUAGAUAUGUGGAGGAAUACCGAUGGCGAAGGCAGCCCCCUGGGAUAACACUGACGCUCAUGCACGAAAGCGUGGGGAGCAAACAGG